rnacentral:miRNA from 1 species
GAACAAUCUUUGACUUUGGUU